ACAGGAGAGACAGGAGGACGCAUCAUAGAGCGCCAGAGACAGGGGAGUCAUAGAGUUUCAUGUUUGUUUGUGUAGUGUGAAUUGAAGGUAAACCUUGCUUUGCAGUGAGGAAGGGUUGAGUAGGUCCAAAGUUGCAAGGUCGCCUUGCUUUUACAAGGAGCCUGGUUCCUGGUGCCUAGUUUAAUGGCACGGACGUUACUCAAGCUGUGGACCCCUAGACCCACUGUGCAGGACUUUCUCAUUUGAUGCUAUGGUUGGACUACCAUCUCCCAUCACUUUCCAUCAUCACCACCAACCUCCUCCUCAUCAUCCAAUCAGCUGCCCUCUCCGCCCCUUACUUACACUGUGUCAGAGGUGAAGGAUUAACAACAGGCAGAAACUAUCUCCAAAGAGCCAUGGACGCCGGAAGCACAGGGGCCACUUUAGGCUCAAAAUAUCUUUUAAUAAAC